rnacentral:rRNA from 1 species
UACGGGGGGAGCAAGCGUUGUUCGGAUUUACUGGGCGUAAAGGGCGCGUAGGCGGUCGUGACAAGUCACUUGUGAAAUCUCCGGGCUUAACUCGGUAGCGGCCAAGUGAUACUGUCGGACUAGAGUGCGGAAGGGGCAACUGGAAUUCUCGGUGUAGCGGUGAAAUGCGUAGAUAUCGAGAGGAACACCUGCGGCGAAGGCGGGUUGCUGGGUCGACACUGACGCUGAGGCGCGAAAGCCAGGGGAGCGAACGGG